GUCGAGAAUAAUUCACAAUGGACGAAAGUCUGAUGGUGCAACGCCGCGUGGAGGAUGACGGUCUUCGGAUUGUAAACUCCUGUCAUCCGGGAGUAAGACCUGGCUGUGAAUAGCAGACAGGGUUGAUAGUACCGGAAGAGGAAGGGACGGCUAACUUCGUGCCAGCAGCCGCGGUAAUACGAAGGUCCCAAGCGUUGUUCGGAAUCACUGGGCGUAAAGGGUGCGUAGGCGGCGUGGUAAGUCAGAUGUGAAAUCCCGGGGCUCAACCUCGGAACGGCAUCCGAUACUGCCAUGCUUGAGGGCUGGAGAGGUAACUGGAAUUCUCGGUGUAGCAGUGAAAUGCGUGGAUAUCGAGAGGAACACUCGUGGCGAAGGCGAGUUACUGGACAGCAUCUGACGCUGAGGCACGAAGGCCAGGGGAGCGAAAGGGAUUAGAUACCCUUGUAGUCC
rnacentral:rRNA from 1 species